GGCCAGACUCCUACGGGAGGCAGCAGUGAGGAAUAUUGGUCAAUGGGCGAGAGCCUGAACCAGCCAAGUCGCGUGAGGGAAGACGGUCCUAUGGAUUGUAAACCUCUUUUGCCGGGGAGCAAAAAGCGGUACGCGUACCGCAUCGAGAGUACCCGGAGAAAAAGCAUCGGCUAACUCCGUGCCAGCAGCCGCGGUAAUACGGAGGAUGCGAGCGUUAUCCGGAUUUAUUGGGUUUAAAGGGUGCGUAGGCGGGCUUUUAAGUCAGCGGUAAAAAUUCGGGGCUCAACCCCGUCCGGCCGUUGAAACUGGGGGCCUUGAGUGGGCGAGAAGAAGGCGGAAUGCGUGGUGUAGCGGUGAAAUGCAUAGAUAUCGCGCAGAACUCCGAUUGCGAAGGCAGCAUGCCGGCUCCACACUGACGCUGAGGCACGAAAGCGUGGGUAUCGAACAGGAUUAGAUACCCUAGUA
rnacentral:rRNA from 1 species